AAUCCAUAGGUUAAUGAGGCGAACCGGGGGAACUGAAACAUCUAAGUACCCCGAGGAAAAGAAAUCAACCGAGAUUCCCCCAGUAGCGGCGAGCGAACGGGGAGGAGCCCAGAGCCUGAAUCAGCAUGUGUGUUAGUGGAAGCGUCUGGAAAGGCGCGCGAUACAGGGUGACAGCCCCGUACACAAAAGCGCAUGUGCUGUGAGCUCGAUGAGUAGGGCGGGACACGUGGUAUCCUGUCUGAAUAUGGGGGGACCAUCCUCCAAGGCUAAAUACUCCUGACUGACCGAUAGUGAACCAGUACCGUGAGGGAAAGGCGAAAAGAACCCCGGCGAGGGGAGUGAAAAAGAACCUGAAACCGUGUACGUACAAGCAGUGGGAGCACCCUUUGGGUGUGACUGCGUACCUUUUGUAUAAUGGGUCAGCGACUUAUAUUCUGUAGCAAGGUUAACCGAAUAGGGGAGCCGGAGGGAAACCGAGUCUUAACCGGGCGUUAAGUUGCAGGGUAUAGACCCGAAACCCGGUGAUCUAGCCAUGGGCAGGUUGAAGGUUGGGUAACACUAACUGGAGGACCGAACCGACUAAUGUUGAAAAAUUAGCGGAUGACCUGUGGCUGGGGGUGAAAGGCCAAUCAAACCGGGAGAUAGCUGGUUCUCCCCGAAAGCUAUUUAGGUAGCGCCUCGUGAAUUCAUCUCCGGGGGUAGAGCACUGUUUCGGCUAGGGGGCCAUCCCGGCUUACCAACCCGAUGCAAACUGCGAAUACCGGAGAAUGUUAUCACGGGAGACACACGGCGGGUGCUAACGUCCGUCGUGAAGAGGGAAACAACCCAGACCGCCAGCUAAGGUCCCAAAGUCAUGGUUAAGUGGGAAACGAUGUGGGAAGGCCCAGACAGCCAGGAUGUUGGCUUAGAAGCAGCCAUCAUUUAAAGAAAGCGUAAUAGCUCACUGGUCGAGUCGGCCUGCGCGGAAGAUGUAACGGGGCUAAACCAUGCACCGAAGCUGCGGCAGCGACACUGUGUGUUGUUGGGUAGGGGAGCGUUCUGUAAGCCUGUGAAGGUGUGUCGUGAGGCAUGCUGGAGGUAUCAGAAGUGCGAAUGCUGACAUAAGUAACGAUAAAGCGGGUGAAAAGCCCGCUCGCCGGAAGACCAAGGGUUCCUGUCCAACGUUAAUCGGGGCAGGGUGAGUCGACCCCUAAGGCGAGGCCGAAAGGCGUAGUCGAUGGGAAACGGGUUAAUAUUCCCGUACUUGGUGUUACUGCGAAGGGGGGACGGAGAAGGCUAUGUUGGCCGGGCGACGGUUGUCCCGGUUUAAGCGUGUAGGUGUGUGUUCCAGGUAAAUCCGGUUCACUUUAACACUGAGGCGUGACGACGAGGCACUACGGUGCUGAAGCAACAAAUGCCCUGCUUCCAGGAAAAGCCUCUAAGCAUCAGGUAACAUCAAAUCGUACCCCAAACCGACACAGGUGGUCAGGUAGAGAAUACCAAGGCGCUUGAGAGAACUCGGGUGAAGGAACUAGGCAAAAUGGUGCCGUAACUUCGGGAGAAGGCACGCUGACACGUAGGUGAAGUGAUUUACUCAUGGAGCUGAAGUCAGUCGAAGAUACCAGCUGGCUGCAACUGUUUAUUAAAAACACAGCACUGUGCAAACACGAAAGUGGACGUAUACGGUGUGACGCCUGCCCGGUGCCGGAAGGUUAAUUGAUGGGGUCAGCGCAAGCGAAGCUCCUGAUCGAAGCCCCGGUAAACGGCGGCCGUAACUAUAACGGUCCUAAGGUAGCGAAAUUCCUUGUCGGGUAAGUUCCGACCUGCACGAAUGGCGUAAUGAUGGCCAGGCUGUCUCCACCCGAGACUCAGUGAAAUUGAACUCGCUGUGAAGAUGCAGUGUACCCGCGGCAAGACGGAAAGACCCCGUGAACCUUUACUAUAGCUUGACACUGAACAUUGAGCCUUGAUGUGUAGGAUAGGUGGGAGGCUUUGAAGUGUGGACGCCAGUCUGCAUGGAGCCGACCUUGAAAUACCACCCUUUAAUGUUUGAUGUUCUAACGUGGACCCGUUACCCGGGUUGCGGACAGUGUCUGGUGGGUAGUUUGACUGGGGCGGUCUCCUCCUAAAGAGUAACGGAGGAGCACGAAGGUUGGCUAAUCCUGGUCGGACAUCAGGAGGUUAGUGCAAUGGCAUAAGCCAGCUUGACUGCGAGCGUGACGGCGCGAGCAGGUGCGAAAGCAGGUCAUAGUGAUCCGGUGGUUCUGAAUGGAAGGGCCAUCGCUCAACGGAUAAAAGGUACUCCGGGGAUAACAGGCUGAUACCGCCCAAGAGUUCAUAUCGACGGCGGUGUUUGGCACCUCGAUGUCGGCUCAUCACAUCCUGGGGCUGAAGUAGGUCCCAAGGGUAUGGCUGUUCGCCAUUUAAAGUGGUACGCGAGCUGGGUUUAGAACGUCGUGAGACAGUUCGGUCCCUAUCUGCCGUGGGCGCUGGAGAACUGAGGGGGGCUGCUCCUAGUACGAGAGGACCGGAGUGGACGCAUCACUGGUGUUCGGGUUGUCAUGCCAAUGGCACUGCCCGGUAGCUAAAUGCGGAAGAGAUAAGUGCUGAAAGCAUCUAAGCACGAAACUUGCCCCGAGAUGAGUUCUCCCUGAGACUUUAGGUCUCCUGAAGGAACGUUGAAGACGACGACGUUGAUAGGCCGGGUGUGUAAGCG
rnacentral:rRNA from 1 species